rnacentral:rRNA from 1 species
AACGAACGCUGGCGGCGUGCCUAACACAUGCAAGUCGAACGAGAAAGGGGCUUCGGCUCCGAGUAAAGUGGCGCACGGGUGAGUAACACGUAGGUAACCUGCCUCUAAGAUUGGGAUAACAUGUCGAAAGACGUGCUAAUACCGAAUAAGACCACGGCUUCCUCGGAAGCAGGGGUCAAAGAUAGCCUCUACUUGUAAGCUAUCACUUAGAGAUGGGCCUGCGUACCAUUAGCUAGUUGGUAGGGUAAUGGCCUACCAAGGCAAAGAUGGUUAGCUGGUCUGAGAGGAUGAUCAGCCACACUGGAACUGAGACACGGUCCAGACUCCUACGGGAGGCAGCAGUGGGGAAUAUUGCGCAAU